GUAGGUGACAAGCGUUGUCCGGAUUUACUGGGCGUAAAGAGCGCGCAGGCGGUCGGUCAAGUCGAGUGUGAAAGCCCCCGGCUCAACUGGGGAGGGUCAUUCGAUACUGAUCGACUCGAAGGCAGGAGAGGGUAGUGGAAUUCCCGGUGUAGUGGUGAAAUGCGUAGAUAUCGGGAGGAACACCAGUGGCGAAGGCGACUACCUGGCCUGUUCUUGACGCUGAGGCGCGAAAGCUAGGGGAGCAAACGGGAUUAGAUACCCGGUAGUCCUAGCCGUAAACGAUGGACACUAGGUGUUGGUGGUAUCAACCCCGCCAGUGCCGAAGCUAACGCAUUAAGUGUCCCGCCUGGGGAGUACGGCCGCAAGGCUA
rnacentral:rRNA from 1 species